rnacentral:lncRNA from 1 species
CUCACAAUAGGUUAGUCUUCAAACUAAAAGAAAUUGGUCUAGAUGAAUAUUCUUGUUCUUGGGUAGAACAUUGGCUUAAGGAUAGAGUACAACGAGUUGUAAUUAAUGGUAAAUUUUCAGGCUGGACAAAAGUGGUAAGUGGUGUCCCUCAGGGUUCUGUUUUGGGACCACUUCUAUUUAACAUAUUUAUAAAUGAUCCUGAAAUAAGCAUUGGAAGCCAUGUAUCAGUGUUUGCAGAUGACACAAAACUUUGUAUAAUUAAUAAAAUGUGAGUAAGACCACACCUUGAAUAUGCUGUGCAAUUUUG